CCCCAGCGCUACAAGUGGCGAUCGCUUUUAUUGGGCUUAAAGCGUUCGUAGUCGGAUAAAUAAAUUCUUUGUGAAAUCAAUAAGCUCAACUUAUUGGCGUGCAGAGAAGACUGUUUAUCUUGGAACCGGGAGAAGUAAGGAGUAUUUCUAGGGGAGCGGUAAAAUGUUAUAAUCCUAGAAGGACUACCGGUGGCGAAGGCGCCUUACUAGAACGGAUUCGACGAUGAGGAACGAAAGCCAGGGGAACAAAACGG
rnacentral:rRNA from 1 species